rnacentral:misc_RNA from 1 species
AAUAAACUUACGAUAAGUCAUUUGUCUCUUGAGAAUCGAACGUUGAUCUUGCUUUAAUGAUAUUGAGAAACUGAUAAAACUUAGAGUCGAUCGGUUUAAUCACACGGCUGAUCGUUCAGAAUUAAAGAACGUCGCUCGAAUCUAAUUCAAACUGAACAUUUAUCGUUAGAAUCUAACGAGACGAAUUACACGUUUCACGCGAAAGAUAUUUACAAAAAUAUGGAAGUUUCACAAAUAGACGAAAAACAGAUAAAAAGUGACCUCUAUUUACCAUUGCGAAUGCAAUGAGCGAUAAAUAAGAGAAAAAUUCUCUAAAAAAAAAAAAAAAAAUUCUUGUGAAGAGUCUAGGCAUUGGUCGAAAUGAGGAAAGAAAAUCACGAUAUU